rnacentral:rRNA from 1 species
AAAAGAAAUCAACCGAGAUUCCGUAAGUAGUGGCGAGCGAACACGGAACAGCCUGCACGACUAAACCAUCAGCUAAGCAAAACGGUCUGGAAAGUCCGACGAUACAGGGUGAUAGUCCCGUAUGCGAAUAGCCGGUGGCGGGUCUGAGCGUGCGACAAGUAGGGCGGGACACGAGAAAUCCUGUCUGAAGAUGGGGGGACCAUCCUCCAAGGCUAAAUACUCGUGAUCGACCGAUAGUGAACCAGUACCGUGAGGGAAAGGCGAAAAGAACCCCGGGAGGGGAGUGAAAUAGAUCCUGAAACCGCAUGCAUACAAACAGUGGGAGCCUCGUAAGGGGUGACUGCGUACCUUUUGUAUAAUGGGUCAGCGACUUACGUUCAGUAGCGAGCUUAACCGAAUAGGGGAGGCGUAGCGAAAGCGAGUCUGAUAAGGGCGUCAGAGUUGCUGGGCGUAGACCCGAAACCGGAUGAUCUAUCCAUGGCCAGG